rnacentral:rRNA from 1 species
UACGUAGGGUCCGAGCGUUGUCCGGAAUUACUGGACGUAAAGAGCUCGUAGGUGGUUUGUCGCGUUGUUCGUGAAAACUCACAGCUCAACUGUGGGCGUGCGGGCGAUACGGGCAGACUAGAGUACUGCAGGGGAGACUGGAAUUCCUGGUGUAGCGGUGGAAUGCGCAGAUAUCAGGAGGAACACCGGUGGCGAAGGCGGGUCUCUGGGCGAGUGAAACUGA